AGCAGCCGCGGUAAUUCCAGCUCCAAUAGCGUAUAUUAAAGUUGUUGCAGUUAAAAAGCUCGUAGUUGAAUUUCGGGGUUCUACCGUUGGUCGGGCAAUAGUCUGUACUGGCGUGUAGAAUUUCUACCUUCUGGGGAACCAUCAUGUUAUUUAUUUAGCGUGGUGGGAAACCAGGACCUUUACCUUGAAAAAAUUAGAGUGUUCAAAGCAGGCUUACGUCUGAAUACAUUAGCAUGGAAUAAUAAAAUAGGACGGUGGUCCUGUUUUGUUGGUUUCUGAAUCACCGUAAUGAUUAAUAGGGAUAGUUGGGGGCAUUAGUAUUCAAUUGUCAGAGGUGAAAUUCUUGGAUUUAUUGAAGACUAACUUCUGCGAAAGCAUUUGCCAAGGAUGUUUUCAUUAAUCAAGAACGAAAGUUAGGGGAUCGAAGACGAUCAGAUACCGUCGUAGUCUUAACCAUAAACUAUGCCGACUAGGGAUCGGACGAUGUUAAUUUUUCUUGACUCGUUCGGCGCCUUACGGGAAACCAAAGUGUUUGGGUU
rnacentral:rRNA from 1 species